rnacentral:rRNA from 1 species
UACGGGGGGGGCAAGCGUUGUUCGGAAUCACUGGGCGUAAAGGGCGCGUAGGCGGCCUUCUAAGUCGGACGUGAAAUCCCUCGGCUUAACCGAGGAACUGCGUCCGAGACUGAAAGGCUUGAAUCCGGGAGGGGGAUGUGGAAUUCCAGGUGUAGCGGUGAAAUGCGUAGAUAUCUGGAGGAACACCGGUGGCGAAGGCGGCAUCCUGGACCGGCAUUGACGCUGAGGCGCGAAAGCUAGGGGAGCAAACGGG